rnacentral:rRNA from 1 species
CCACUGUCACAAACGCUGGCGGCUUGGGUAACAGCAUGCAAGUCGAACGAUGGAAGCCUUUCGGGGUGGAUUAGUGGCGAACGGGUGAUUAGACACGUGGGCAAUCUGCCCUUCACUCUGGGACAAGCCCUGGAAACGGGGUCUAAUACCGGAUAACACUCUGUCCUGCAUGGGACGGGGUUAAAAGCUCCGGCGGUGAAGGAUGAGCCCGCGGCCUAUCAGCUUGUUGGUGGGGUAAUGGCCUACCAAGGCGACAACGGGUAGCCGGCCUGAAAGGGCGACCGGCCACACUGGGACUGAAACACGGCCCAAACUCCUACGGGAGGCAGCAGUGGGGAAUAUUGCACAAUGGGCGAAAGCCUGAUGCACCGACGCCGCGUGAGGGAUGACGGCCUUCGGGUUGUAAACCUCUUUCAGCAGGGAAAAAGCGAAAGUGACGGUACCUUGCAAAAAAAGCGCCGGCUAACUACGUGCCAGCAGCCGCGGUUAAUACUUAGG